GACGAACCGUGCGAACGUUGUUCGGAAUCACUGGGCAUAAAGGGCGCGUAGGCGGCUUAUCAAGUCAGGGGUGAAAUCCGGCAGCUUAACUGUCGAAGUGCCCUUGAUACUGAUGAGCUCGAGGGAGAUAGGGGUGUGUGGAACUUCCGGUGGAGCGGUGAAAUGCGUUGAUAUCGGAAGGAACGCCGGUGGCGAAAGCGACACACUGGAUCUCUUCUGACGCUGAGGCGCGAAAGCCAGGGGAGCAAACGGA
rnacentral:rRNA from 1 species